rnacentral:lncRNA from 1 species
UUGGAAAUAAGCAGACCAUCGAUAAGUUUUUUCAUGCCUCGACUCUCCCUCGGUUCGUUCGGAAAUCAUGGUAGUCUUUUCAUGGAGAUUAUUGGGAACGGAAAUGUGCCUGGGGUUAAGAACAACGACAAAACAGCCUUCUGUCUGUUGCCAUGGAAUGUAUAGGUAGGGAUUGUUUUAUGCUUGGAAAGCCCGUUCCGCGCUCUCUAUCCCCUUUUUUGGGAGGGUUAAGAACAACGACAAAACUGCCUUCUGUCUGUUGCCAUGAAAUGUAUAGGUAGGGAUUGUUUUAUACUUGGAAAGCCCGUUCCGCGCUCUCUAUCCCCUUUUUGGGGGGUCCGCAUAAACCGCUUUUUAGUAUUCGUGUUCGCCUUCUUUCUUCCUUCCCUUCCACACGGAAGGAUCAUGGGGUUCUCCCAACAUACAUAUCCGGGGGUGCAACUGUUUAGUAGGCAAGGAUCGGAA